CACGUAGGGUGCGAGCGUUUGUCCGGAAUUAUUGGGCGUAAAGAGCUCGUAGGCGGUGUGUCGCGUCGGCCGUGAAAACCUGCAGCUUAACUGUGGGCUUGCGGUCGAUACGGGCAUCACUGGAGUUCGGCAGGGGAGACUGGAAUUCCUGGUGUAGCGGUGAAAUGCGCAGAUAUCAGGAGGAACACCGAUGGCGAAGGCAGGUCUCUGGGCCACUACUGACGCUGAGGAGCGAAAGCGUGGGGAGCGAACAGG
rnacentral:rRNA from 1 species